UACGAAGGGGGCUAGCGUUGCUCGGAAUCACUGGGCGUAAAGGGUGCGUAGGCGGGUCUUUAAGUCAGGGGUGAAAUCCUGGAGCUCAACUCCAGAACUGCCCUUUGAUACUGAAGAUCUUGAGUUCCGGGAGAGGUGAGUGGAACUGCGAGUGUAGAGGUGAAAUUCGUAGAUAUUCGCAAGAACACCAGUGGCGAAGGCGG
rnacentral:rRNA from 1 species